rnacentral:rRNA from 1 species
AACGAACGCUGGCGGCAGGCUUAACACAUGCAAGUCGAACGCAUCGCAAGAUGAGUGGCAGACGGGUGAGUAACGCGUGGGAAUCUACCGAGCCCUGCGGAAUAGCUCCGGGAAACUGGAAUUAAUACCGCAUACGUCCUUAGGGAGAAAGAUUUAUCGGGGUUUGAUGAGCCCGCGUUGGAUUAGCUAGUUGGUGGGGUAAAGGCCUACCAAGGCGACGAUCCAUAGCUGGUCUGAGAGGAUGAUCAGCCAAAUUGGGACUGACACACGGCCCAAACUCCUACGGGAGGCAGCAGUGGGGAAUAGUGGACAAUGGGCGCAAGCCUGAUCCAGCCAUGCCGCGUGAGUGAUGAAGGUCUUAGGAUUGUAAAGCUCUUUCACCGGAGAAGAUAAUGACGGUAUCCGGAGAAGAAGCCCCGGCUAACUUCGUGCCAGCAGCCGCGGUAA